CCUACGGGGUGCAGCAGUGGGGAAUAUUGCACAAUGGGGGAAACCCUGAUGCAGCGACGCCGCGUGAGUGAAGAAGUAUCUCGGUACGUAAAGCUCUAUCAGCAGGGAAGAAAAUGACGGUACCUGACUAAGAAGCCCCGGCUAAAUACGUGCCAGCAGCCGCGGUAAUACGUAGGGGGCAAGCGUUAUCCGGAUUUACUGGGUGUAAAGGGAGCGUAGAUGGCAGCACAAGUCUGGAGUGAAAUCCCGGGGCUUAACCCCGGAACUGCUUUGGAAACUGUGCGGCUGGAGUGCAGGAGGGGUAAGCGGAAUGCCUGGUGUAGCGGUGAAAUGCGUAGAUAUUAGGAGGAACACCGGUGGCGAAGGCGGCUUACUGGACUGUAACUGACGUUGAGGCUCGAAAGCGUGGGGAGCAAACAGGAUUAGAUACCCCUGUAGUC
rnacentral:rRNA from 1 species